GCCUGGGUGGUUUAGUUGGUUGAGCGUCUGACUCUUGAUUUAGGCUCAGGUCAUGAUCCCAGGUUUGUGGGAUCGAGCCCCACUCCAGGCU
rnacentral:tRNA from 1 species